rnacentral:tRNA from 1 species
GGGGAUGUAGCUCAGAUGGUAGAGCGCUCUCUUAGCAUGCGAGAGGUACGGGGAUCGAUACCAUCUCCA